GACGAACGCUGGCGGCGUGCCUAACACAUGCAAGUCGAGCGGUUCUUAAGCUGUAGUUUACUAUAGCUUAAGAAUAGCGGCGAACGGGUGAGUAACACGUGGGCAACCUGUCCGAAAGAUCGGGAUAACAGUCCGAAAGGGCUGCUAAUACCGAAUACGCUUACCGGGUCGCAUGAUCCGGUAAGGAAAGGUCGGCACCUUCCGCUUUCGGGUGGGCCCGCGUCCCAUUAGCUAGUUGGUGAGGUAAAGGCCCCACCAAGGCGAUGAUGGGUAGCCGGCCUGAGAGGGUGUACGGCCACACUGGGACUGAGAUACGGCCCAGACUCCUACGGGAGGCAGCAGCUAAGAAUAUUCCGCAAUGGACGAAAGUCUGACGGAGCGACGCCGCGUGGAUGAAGAAGGCCGAAAGGUUGUAAAGUUCUUUUGCUAGGGGAGAAUAAGUGAGGGAGGGAAUGCCCUCAUGAUGACAAGGACUAGCGAAUAAGCCCCGGCCAACUACGUGCCAGCAGCCGCGGUAAU
rnacentral:rRNA from 1 species